rnacentral:rRNA from 1 species
CAAUAGCGUAUAUUUAAGUUGUUGCAGUUAAAAAGCUCGUAGUUGGAUUUCGGGUGGGACGCAGCGGUCUCGCAUUGCGUUUGUACUGCUGCAGCCCUCCUUCUUGCCGGGGGCGGCCUCUCGGACUUCACUGUCUGGGGGUCAGAAUCGGCGAUGUUACUUUGAGUAAAUUAGAGUGUUCAAAGCAAGCUUACGCUCUGAAUAUAAUAGCAUGGGAUAACACGACAGGACUCUGGCCUAUCGUGUUGGUCUAUAGGACCAGAGUAAUGAUUAAGAGGGACAGUCGGGGGCAUUCGUAUUCCGUUGUCAUAGGUGAAAUUCUUGGAUUUACGGAAGACGAACAUCUGCGAAAGCAUUUGCCAAGGAUGUUUUCAUUGA